GCGGGUGUAGUUCAAUGGUAGAACUCCAGCCUUCCAAGCUGGUCGCGUGGGU
rnacentral:tRNA from 1 species